rnacentral:tRNA from 1 species
UCCCUGGUGGUCUAACGGUUAAGACUCCAAGCUCCCAAUUCAAGGGGUCUGGGUUUGAUCCCUGGUCAGGGAA